rnacentral:rRNA from 1 species
AGAUCCUGAAACCGUGUGCCUACAAGUAGUCAGAGCCCGUUAAAGGGUGAUGGCGUGCCUUUUGUAGAAUGAACCGGCGAGUUACGAUCCCGUGCAAGGUUAAGCAGAAGAUGCGGAGCCGCAGCGAAAGCGAGUCUGAAUAGGGCGCAUGAGUACGUGGUCGUAGACCCGAAACCAGGUGAUCUACCCAUGUCCAGGGUGAAGUUCAGGUAACACUGAAUGGAGGCCCGAACCCACGCACGUUGAAAAGUGCGGGGAUGAGGUGUGGGUAGGGGUGAAAUGCCAAUCGAACCUGGAGAUAGCUGGUUCUCUCCGAAAUAGCUUUAGGGCUAGCCUCAAGGUAAGAGUCUCGGAGGUAGAGCACUGAUUGGACUAGGGGCCCCUACCGGGUUACCGAAUUCAGUCAAACUCCGAAUGCCGAUGACUUAUCCUUGGGAGUCAGACUGCGAGUGAUAA